CGGGAUGCUUUAACAUGCAAGUCGAACGGCAGCAUAGAGAGCUUGCUCUCUGAUGGCGAGUGGCGAACGGGUGAGUAAUAUAUCGGAACGUGCCCAGUAAUGGGGAAUAACUAGCCGAAAGGUUAGCUAAUACCGCAUACGACCUACGGGUGAAAGCAGGGGAUCUUAGGACCUUGCGUUAUUGGAGCGGCCGAUAUCUGAUUAGCUUGUUGGUGGGGUAAAAGCCUACCAAGGCAACGAUCAGUAGCUGGUCUGAGAGGACGAUCAGCCACACUGGAACUGAGACACGGUCCAGACUCCUACGGGAGGCAGCAGUGGGGAAUUUUGGACAAUGGGGGAAACCCUGAUCCAGCCAUCCCGCGUGAGUGAAGAAGGCCUUCGGGUUGUAAAGCUCUUUCGAAAGUGAAGAAAACUUAUUUCGUAAUAUGUUAUAAGUAUGACGGUAACUUUAGAAGAAGCACCGGCUAACUACGUGCCAGCAGCCGCGGUAAUACGUAGGGUGCGAGCGUUAAUCGGAAUUACUGGGCGUAAAGCGUGCGCAGGCGGUUUUGUAAGUCAGAUGUGAAAUCCCCGAGCUUAACUUGGGAACUGC
rnacentral:rRNA from 1 species